rnacentral:rRNA from 1 species
UACGUAGGGGGCAAGCGUUGUCCGGAAUCAUUGGGCGUAAAGCGCGUGUAGGCGGCCAGAUAAGUCCGCUGUGAAAUCUCGAGGCUCAACUUCGAGCUGUCGGUGGAAACUGUCUGGCUAGAGUCCGGAAGAGGAGAAUGGAAUUCCUGGUGUAGCGGUGAAAUGCGCAGAUAUCAGGAAGAACACCCGUGGCUAAGGCGGCUCUCUAGUACGGUACUGACGCUGAGACGCGAAAGCGUGGGGAGCGAACAGG